rnacentral:sRNA from 1 species
ACGGGCCGUGGGUAAUGUUUUUGGAGAUAAGGGUGUAUAUAUCGGAUCAAUCAAACCGAAUGUCGGCCAUUCUGAAGGUGCAUCGGGUAUCUCGUCGCUCAUUAAAGUGGUGCUUGCGCUCGAGAACAGAACUAUCCCUCCCAACAUCAAGUUUUCCAAACCAAAUCCAAAGAUACCUUUUGCAGAGUGCAAUUUGAAAGUCCCAAUGGAGCCGAUUCCGUGGCCACAGGACAAGAGUGAACGUGCGAGCAUAAACUCGUUCGGGGUCGGAGGCGCCAAUGCACAUGUUAUCCUAGAGUCUGCUGCAAUGUACGGGAUCGAAGCACCGACGCUCAAAGAAGACGGUCCUUGUCUACUAGUAUAUUCGGCCAACACUCAACUAUCAUUGAAAAAACAGGUAGAAAAUCUUCGCGAAUAUCUGGAACGAUACCCAAACAGAAUAUACGAUCUCGCUUACACGUUGGGAAGAAGGAGAGAACAUCUACCACAUCGAUCAUUCUCAGUCAUUCCUGGGGAUGAUGAGCCAAUACACUCACCUUUGACAAAGGCCAAUGGCAAUGCAACCCUGACCAUGGUGUUUACCGGGCAGGGGGCACAAUGGCCUGAAAUGGGACUUCCUUUGAUGAGGAGCAAUAUAGUUUUCAGGCAGUCCAUCCAAGCGAUGGACAAAGUUCUCCAGAAACUCCCAGAUGGACCCACCUGGACAAUCGAGGCCGAACUGGCGCUACCAGCCGACCGCAGUAACAUACAUAAGUCAGAAUAUUCGCAGCCGCUUUCAACAGCGCUUCAAAUCGCCCUUGUAAAAACCUUCGCAUCCGUGGGUAUAGAGCCCACGACUGUAAUCGGACACUCCAGCGGAGAGAUCGCAGCAGCGUUUGCCGCUGGGGCUCUGACUGCAUCAGAGGCAAUUCAGGUUGCGUACUAUCGUGGUCUUGCAACUGUUAAAUACGCACCUGAAGGAGCUAUGGCUGCAAUUGGUCUCGGUUGGGACGAGGUAACAGAAUACCUUCUGCCUGACACUGUUGUGGCCUGCGAAAACUCGCCUGCUUCCGUCACCAUAGCUGGUGAGAGGGCUUCCGUCCAAAGAGUCAUCGAAGUUAUCAAAAAAUCACAUCCCAGUUGCCUGGCAAGGAUGCUCAAGGUCGGGGUUCCUUAUCAUUCACCCCAUAUGAAUCAUGCCGGAGAAGAAUAUCACAAGAUGAUCCUGAAGAAAAUCGAAAGCAGAAGUCUGCGCAAACGCUUCAUCUCAAGCGUAACGGGAACUGCUGAAGGGAAUAACACUCUCGAUGCCUCCUACUGGGUGCGGAACAUGCUGUCUCCAGUUCGAUUUCGAGGAGCUCUUGAGCAUUUACUGC